CAGGGUGAUGAAUGUCCCCCAUAUGGCAAAAUUCAACUUGAGUGGGCAUCCACAACCAAAUGCUGGAAAAAGCUUCAAACAGACUGCAGUGUAUUCUGUCUUCAAGAGCACAUGUGAACAGUUUACCUCAUACCAGAAAGGACCCAGAGACAGUGCAUGGUGUUCAAUAUUUUCAAAUAUGCGCCAGAAAGGAAAAUGGCAGUGUGUUGAAGACAUUGACAAACAAUUUGAAAACUAGCCUUUGUGCUAAGCCUGGCAGUCUGUGGCUGAUGACAUUGUUUGUAGUCUCUCAUGUUUGCUUACACUUAUAAUAACCUUUGUAAGACCUCAAUUCAUGAACUCAUGAAGAAUUAUAGUUCAUGAACUAUUCACUGACAGUCCGUGAACAGAAAAUGGGCCAUUGAAAAAUGGAAGGAAAGUGUUCAUGAACUGUUCAUGAACAGCAAAACCCUAAAGAACUUUUCAAGAACUGUGUUGUUCAUGACCUGUUCAAGAACACUUCAUACCACUGGUGUUCAUGAAUAGUUCAUGAACACUUCAUGCCAUAAGGGUUCAAGAAUAGUUCAUGAACACUUCAUGCCAUUAGGUUUCAAGAAUAUUUCAUGAACACUUCAUGCCAAUAGUGUUCAUGAACAGUUCACAAACUAAAAUUUCAAGAACAUUUCACAGACGUGGCCCAUUUUCUGUUCACUGACUAUUCGUGAACUAUUCAUGAACUCGGUUCAUGAACAGUUCAUGAACAGUUCACGAAUUAUUCGUGAACUGCAGAACAACAUUUCGCAGGGGAGUAUUUGACAUGAUUAUCAGUGUGAGCGUUGCUAGUGAUCUUCAAUCAUAAACUUGUAUCUUAAAUGAAAAUAUUGCAUGUUUUGUUAUUAAUUAAAAUGCUUAUAAUUUA